GGAUAGCUCAGUCAGUAGAGCAUGAAACUCUUAAUCUCAAGGUCAUGUGUUCGAGCCCCUUGUUGGACA